GAUGAACGCUGGCGGCGUGCCUAAUACAUGCAAGUCGAGCGAAUGGAUUAAGAGCUUGCUCUUAUGAAGUUAGCGGCGGACGGGUGAGUAACACGUGGGUAACCUGCCCAUAAGACUGGGAUAACUCCGGGAAACCGGGGCUAAUACCGGAUAACAUUUUGAACCGCAUGGUUCGAAAUUGAAAGGCGGCUUCGGCUGUCACUUAUGGAUGGACCCGCGUCGCAUUAGCUAGUUGGUGAGGUAACGGCUCACCAAGGCAACGAUGCGUAGCCGACCGGAGAGGGUGAUCGGCCACACUGGGACUGAGACCCGGCCCAGACUCCUACGGGAGGCAGCAGUAGGGAAUCUUCCGCAAUGGACGAAAGUCUGACGGAGCAACGCCGCGUGAGUGAUGAGGGCUUUCGGGUCGUAAAACUCUGUUGUUAGGGAAGAACAAGUGCUAGUUGAAUAAGCUGGCACCUUGACGGUACCUAACCAGAAAGCCACGGCUAACUACGUGCCAGCCGCCGCGGUAA
rnacentral:rRNA from 1 species